rnacentral:rRNA from 1 species
ACGAACGCUGGCGGCGUGCUUAACACAUGCAAGUCGAACGGAAAGGCCCUGCUUGCAGGGUACUCGAGUGGCGAACGGGUGAGUAACACGUGGGUGAUCUGCCCUGCACUUCGGGAUAAGCCUGGGAAACUGGGUCUAAUACCGGAUAGGAGCCAUUUUUAGUGUGAUGGUUGGAAAGUUUUUUCGGUGUAGGAUGAGCUCGCGGCCUAUCAGCUUGUUGGUGGGGUAAUGGCCUACCAAGGCGGCGACGGGUAGCCGGCCUGAGGGGGUGGACGGCCACAUUGGGACUGAGAUACGGCCCAGACUCCUACGGGAGGCAGCAGUGGGGAAUAUUGCACAAUGGGCGCAAGCCUGAUGCAGCGACGCCGCGUGGGGGAUGACGGCCUUCGGGUUGUAAACUCCUUUCGCUAGGGACGAAGCUUUUUGUGACGGUACCUAGAUAAGAAGCACCGGCUAACUACGUG